rnacentral:rRNA from 1 species
UUGAUUAAGAGGUUUACUAGAAUAUUAUUUGUUAAUCUAAAUUAAUUUUAAGGGUAUUGGCGGUAUUUAGUUAUAUUCUGAGGAACUUGUCUUACUAAGUUGAUAUUACUCAUUAAAUUUUACCUAUAAUUUAUUUUAUGUAUUGCUGUUUAAUUAAUUGUUUAUUUAAUAUAAAAUUAAUUAAAAAUAUAUUGAUAAUAAUAUAAAGAGUUCAAGUCAAAAUGUAGAUUUUUAUAGGAUAAGAUGAGUUACAUUUAUAAUGAAAUAUGAGACUGUAAAAUUUUUUGAAAAAUUUUAAUGAUGAAGGUAGGAUUAGGGUGUAAAGAAAAAUUAAUUAGUUUUUUUGAUAUAAAUUUACUAAUAUGU